rnacentral:sRNA from 1 species
ACUGGGUAUGGUGGUGCAUGCCUGUAAUCCCCGCAGCUUGGAAGGCUGAGGUAGGAGGAUUUCAAGAUCAAAGCCAGCCUCAGCAACUUAGUGAGGUCCUAAGCAACUAGGUGAGACCCUGCCUCUA